rnacentral:rRNA from 1 species
UAAGGAAUCUUUCGCAAUGGGGGCAACCCUGACGAAGCAACACCGCGUGGAGGAUGAAGGCGUUUUCGUCGUAAACUCCUUUUUUGAGGGAAUAAAUCUGAAGGUACCUCAAGAAUAAGCAUCGGCUAACUACGUGCCAGCAGCCGCGGUAAGACGUAGGAUGCAAGCGUUAUCCGGAAUUAUUGGGCGUAAAGAGUUUGUAGGUGGUUUACUAAGUUAGAUGUUAAAGCCUUGAGCUCAACUCAAGUAAUGUAUCUAAAACUGGUGAACUAGAGACAGGUAGGGGUAGAUGGAAUUCUGUAUGUAGGGGUAAUAUCCGUAGAUAUACAGAGGAACACCAAAAGCGAAGGCAGUCUACUGGACCUGUUCUGACACUCAAGAACGAAAGCGUGGGGAGCAAACGGG